GGGCCCGCACAAGCGGUGGAGCAUGUGGUUUAAUUCGAUGCAACGCGAAGAACCUUACCAAGCCUUGACAUCCUCGGAACUUUCCAGAAAUGGAUUGGUGCCUUCGGGAACCGAGUGACAGGUGCUGCAUGGCUGUCGUCAGCUCGUGUCGUGAGAUGUUGGGUUAAGUCCCGUAACGAGCGCAACCCUUGUCCUAUGUUGCCAGCACGUAAUGGUGGGAACUCAUGGGAUACUGCCGGGGUCAACUCGGAGGAAGGUGGGGAUGACGUCAAAUCAUCAUGCCCCUUAUGUCUUGGGCUUCACGCAUGCUACAAUGGCCGGUACAGAGGGCUGCAAUACCGCAAGGUGGAGCGAAUCCCAAAAAGCCGGUCUCAGUUCGGAUUGAGGUCUGCAACUCGACCUCAUG
rnacentral:rRNA from 1 species